AAUGAACGCUAGCGGCAGGCUUAAUACAUGCAAGUCGAAGGACAGCACAGGUAGCAAUACUGGGUGGUAACCGGCAAACGGGUGCGGAACACGUACACAACCUUCCUUUAAGUGGGGGAUAGCCCAGAGAAAUUUGGACUAAUACCCCGUAAUAUAGUUGAAUGGCAUCAUUUGAUUAUUAUAGCUACGGCGCUUAAUGAUGGGUGUGCGGCUGAUUAGAUAGUUGGCGGGGUAACGGCCCACCAGGUCUACGAUCAGUAGCUGAUGUGAGAGCAUGAUCAGCCACACGGGCACUGAGACACGGGCCCGACUCCUACGGGAGGCAGCAGUAAGGAAUAUUGGUCAAUGGACGCAAGUCUGAACCAGCCAUGCCGCGUGAAGGAUUAAGGUCCUCUGGAUUGUAAACUUCUUUUAUUUGGGACGAAAAAGGGCCUUUCUAGGUCAACUGACGGUACCAGAUGAAUAAGCACCGGCUAACUCCGUGCCAGCCGCCGCCGUAACAC
rnacentral:rRNA from 1 species